rnacentral:rRNA from 1 species
AAUGGGCGAAAGCCUGACGCAGCAACGCCGCGUGAGGGAUGAAGUACGUCGAGAUGUAAACCUCUUUCAGCAGGGACGAAGCGAAAGUGACGGUACCUGCAGAAGAAGCGCCGGCUAACUACGUGCCAGCAGCCGCGGUAAUACGUAGGGCGCAAGCGUUGUCCGGAUUUAUUGGGCGUAAAGGGCUCGUAGGCGGUCUGUCACGUCGGAUGUGAAAACUCGGAGCUCAACUCCGGGCCUGCAUUCGAUACGGGCAGACUAGAGUUCGGUAGGGGAGACUGGAACUCCUGGUGUAGCGGUGGAAUGCGCAGAUAUCAGGAAGAACACCGAUGGCGAAGGCAGGUCUCUGGGCCGACACUGACGCUGAGGAGCGAAAGCGUGGGGAGCGAA